rnacentral:rRNA from 1 species
CAGUAGCCGCGGUAAUACGGAGGGUGCAAGCGUUAAUCGGAAUUACUGGGCGUAAAGCGCACGCAGGCGGUCUGACAAGUCAGAUGUGAAAUCCCCGGGCUUAACCUGGGAACUGCAUUUGAAACUGUCAGGCUGGAGUCUUGUAGAGGGGGGUAGAAUUCCAGGUGUAGCGGUGAAAUGCGUAGAGAUCUGGAGGAAUACCGGUGGCGAAGGCGGCCCCCUGGACAAAGACUGACGCUCAGGUGCGAAAGCGUGGGGAGCAAACAGGAUUAGAUACCCGUGUAGUCCCUGUCUCUUAUAC